rnacentral:misc_RNA from 1 species
UACGUAGGGUGCGAGCGUUGUCGGGAAUUAUUGGGCGUAAAGAGCUCGUAGGCGGUGGGUCGCGUCGGUCGUGAAAACUUGGGGCUUAACCCUGAGCUUGCGGGCGAUACGGGCAUCACUUGAGUUCGGCAGGGGAGACCGGAAUUCCUGGUGUAGCGGUGAAAUGCGCAGAUAUCAGGAGGAACACCGGUGGCGAAGGCGGGUCUCGGGGCCGAUACUGACGCUGAGGAGCGAAAGCGUGGGGAGCAAACAGG